UGGGUGGAUGCGCGGGACGUGCUUCUCGUGCCGGACUCGGGCGCAGGCGGCGGCCUGGGCGAGAAGGGCAUGGCCCUCGACACCAUUACGCCACUAUGGGAGGACACGGCGGAGCGCCUCGGCUCCUGGUGGAGCAAGGACCUGGGGACGCCCGAGGCCGGGAAGGC
rnacentral:SRP_RNA from 15 species